UACGAAGGGGGCUAGCGUUGCUCGGAAUUACUGGGCGUAAAGGGCGCGUAGGCGGCUCUGUUAGUCAGGCGUGAAAGCCCUGGGCUCAACCUGGGGACUGCGCUUGAUACGGCGGGGCUUGAGGGCAGGAGAGGCUCGCGGAAUUCCCGGUGUAGAGGUGAAAUUCGUAGAUAUUGGGAAGAACACCGGUGGCGAAAGCGCUCUGCUGGACCUGCACUGACACUGAGGGACGAAAGCUAGGGGAGCGAAAGGG
rnacentral:rRNA from 1 species